rnacentral:lncRNA from 1 species
AAAGAUCGAGUUACUGCGGACCAGGAUUCGGGCGAGGUUGUGCUGUUUGCCAGAACCAGUUCCCCAGCCCCGAGCCCCUUUGAGUCGACGGCAUUGCUGCAGCAGAGGGAGACGAAACCUGGGCCUCGGCGCCCCGAAGGGUCUCAGGAGCCCCUUUCUUUGCGUUGGGGACUCUCUCCUGAUUCAGCUGCUGCCUGCGUUGACUAACUGAUCUAAACAAAGUCUCCAGUAGACGCCUACUAUGUGGCUGACACGGUGCCGGGAGUUUGCGGGAGUCAGACCGACUGGGCUCCUCUCUUGGAGCCUGACUACCUAGACGGAUAAGCGUCUGUCUUUUGGAUAAUAGAUCUGAAUGCACGCGAAUGGAUGUCUACUCACAAAUAAUGGAGUCUUGCUUAGUCGCCCAAGCUGGAGUAGUGUGGCUCGAUCUCAGCUCUGCAACCUCUGCCUCCCAGGGUUCAAGCAAUUCUCCUGCCUCAGUUUCCAGAGUAGCUGGAAUUAUAGUGCAGAUUCUGGGAAAGUGAACUCCACGGAAGACUCAGAAACCAAGUUCUAAU